AGUGCGCUAAUGUGCAACAGGAACAAAACAACAGAAGAAGAAAUAAGGAUGGUGAGCAUGCGCAGCAAGCAAAGUUUUGAAGCUGCAUCGAAUUUGCUGAAACUAAGUAGAAAGACUGUUUACAUUUCACCUCUGGACAAAGAAUGAUUGAUUACUUCUACACAAUAAUAAUAAGGAAAAAAGCUUGUGUCUUCUCUGAGCAGCGGUCUUGUGAUCACCGGUCUCAGUAUAAUAAAGAUUUGACAGAACUACACACCCAUCUGAUGCCUACCUGUUUUAAUUCAUGAUCCCCCCGGAUACUUCUACAACUAACCCGCCUUGGUGUCUGAUGCUGAUGCAGUCUGGGCACUAGUAUCUGUUGGCUUGCUGACUAUCACUGACGAUGAAGUACUUCUCCAAAUCUUGACCCAGUGUCUUCUGCCAUCAUUGUUCAGGGUAGUUCUGCAAAGAAUAGUCUCCAGGGUCUGCCUCCAACAUUUGCUUCCCGACCACCAUGUGCUACGCUUGCAUCACUACAUGUGGGUUACCCUGAUACUGUGAAGAGCACCUACAAUAUGAUGCUUGACUUGGGACAGAAAAAAAAACAUUGGCAACUUGUGUGGCCAACUCAUUGCCGUAUUUAAAAUCAUUGUACCGCUACCUCCAUUGUUUAACAUAACUAAAAGCAGAUUGUUUUUGCUUUGUUUCAAAAAUUUUGUAAUACGAGUUAAAAAGUAUAUCAUCUUUAACUUUGAACUGUCACUACAUUUGAUUUAGGGUAAUUAUGUGUGUGAAGAAUAGAACAUUGUUGUCAUGAAUUUGUAAUAGUUUUUUGAAGUAAUUAAGUUACUAGAUUAAUGGUAACUUUUUUUUUAAAGGCAAUUGGUCAACUAGAUUUCUGUUCAAGUAAAUACAACUUAGAAAUUCCAAGUUGCAGGAAAUGUUUCUUGAUUUAGCUAAAUUUAAAUGAGUUGUUUGAAAUACGUACAUAGUAUAAUGUACUUAAUUUAGUUGUUGAAAAUAGUAAUUCUGAGUUACACGUUUACAACACUUAUAAAUAAACCUUUGUUAGUACAAAUUACUAUUCUUAUUUCACUUUACUUGUUUUUUUUCAAGGCAAUCGGUUUGCAUGCUUUAUUUUUAAAUAAGGUUUACUCAUUAUAAUUUACAGUGCAGACAACCUCCCUGCCCAGGGCACACUAGUGAGAUAAAGUCAAAACACUGUAAUUGUAAUAAAGUACUGUAACUAUACUGUACUACACUGUGUGAUUCUUUCAGCUCUCUCUCCAGUGCUAGGAUGCAUUUUUAAAGCAGUCACCUGUGCUCCUGUUCAUAAUUUCCUGAGAUGCUACUGAAUGCUUGCUUAUGGAUAAUUGUGUGUUAUUUGAGUUCACACUGUGACAAUAGAGUUAACUAUUUGAUGUGUUUGUGUUUUAUGAAUGAGACUUUGGAGAAAUCAUUAAAAAAAAAUUAAUGUG